GCAGAGAAAAAAAAGAAGAGAAAAUUCAGUUUUCCCUCCAAUCUGAGUAAAGUAGAUACUUGCGAACAUGCAUGUUUCAUAGUUUAUACCAGAAAUAUGCUGUAGAACUUACAAAAUUACACCCAAUAAGAAACAAAUUUUAUCGAGUAAUUUUUAGUCCCUUCAGAAAACAACUUAUACAUGAGCACUGAUACAUGAAAGUUUAAACAAAUGAAAAAGAUCCAUGGAUAAACAAAUUAAAAAAG
rnacentral:misc_RNA from 1 species